rnacentral:lncRNA from 1 species
UGAUUACCCGGACGCCGCUGGACCUGGCCGCACGCCGCAAUCUAGCAGGCGUCGGGGAUCCAGGGCCGCUUUGAGGAGCCUGGCUUCGGAUUUCGCGUAGGUUGCAUGGCCCAAGGGGACGGGGCGGAAAGUGCGGAGGCUGAGGACAAAAUGGGCGCCGGAGACUCCUUUAGCCCUCGCUCCUUGCAGCGCUCGCUUGGGCCUCUGCACGUCACUCACGCCCCACCUCGGACCUCGGGCCGCUCAUUUCCGGGCUCGGCUUUGCAAGAUGUGGUGGUACAGUGGGAGCUAUUCUGACAUGUCCACUGGAAGUUGUAAAAACACGACUGCAGUCAUCUUCUGUGACGCUUUAUAUUUCUGAAGUUCAGCUGAACACCAUGGCUGGAGCCAGUGUCAACCGAGUAGUGUCUCCCGGACCUCUUCAUUGCCUAAAAGCAAUAUACUUUGCUGCUUAUUCAAACUGCAAGGAAAAGUUGAAUGAUGUAUUUGAUCCUGAUUCUACCCAAGUACAUAUGAUUUCAGCUGCAAUGGCAGGUUUUACUGCAAUCACAGCAACCAACCCCAUUUGGCUUAUAAAG